rnacentral:lncRNA from 1 species
UUUUUGUAAGGAUGUGUAAAUGUGUGAAUCGAUCAAUAAGUAAUAUAACUUCUCUUGGUACCUGCUAUAUUCUAGGUCCUAGCCUGAGUCCUUCUUUGCUCAAUGAGGAGUCUAAAGACCUUCCAUGGCUUUGGAGUUAUAGGGUGAAAGGAACCUCCAAAUGGCCCAAAAGCAAGAAAACAGAAGUGCCCUCCUCAUCACAAAAAAAAGAACUGAGAGAAAAUGUUUCAAGAUGUUCCACUGGAAAACCUCUCCAGGUGCCUGUAACUAAUUUCUCUAAUUGACAUUCUCACUCUUACAUUCAAAACUUUCACAGUGAACAUACAACACAACCAAUGAUUACCAGCCAAUAGGGAAGUGCGUCUUAAAUAAUCAAAUAAGAAACUAAGAACAUGCUUUAAAUAAAAAAGAAAAGAAAGAAAACACAAAAAUAACUCAUAAUUAAUAUAUCCAAAGAAACAAGAGGUGAUCAAAUAUCCACAAAACAAGAGCCAUAGCCAAAGCAAAUAGGCAGAAUAAGAAAAAUCUCUUAGAAAUUAAAACAUGGCAUGUCAGAAUCACUUAAGUGCCUGAUGACAAUAUAUGUUAAAGCCCAAAACACAGCUAAACAAUACAUUAUUUCUCCGUAGAAAGAUUUAUGAGCAAAGAAUAUAUAUAGAACUAACAUGUUGAGUUACAGAUUAGCAUCCCAAAUGCAAUUAACUAUUGUUGUAAUUUAGAAACAUAAUUACAAUGCAAAAGGUAGUAUUUUAGUUCCUGGAAACAUAAUAGGCAAAAGAUGAAAAAGAUACAUACACAUGCAUUAGGCCAUGUAGAUGAUUUAACAUUUCCAUUUCAGAGUAAAAUUCAAGAGAAUUUAAACAAUGAGAUCCACCAAAUGACCAUUUAAAUAAUUGUGGAAAAAAUUUUAUAUGCCUGCUCAUGUUACAAUGGAAAUUAUCUUGGAAAGCGUUUUCAAAUGAAGAAGACAUUAUUCUUUUUAGAACCUUUUAUUCUAUUUAAUCAAUGUCACUUAUAUUGGUCCUUCAUUAUUCUUCAGGUUAGACACUAUUCAAGAGUAUUAAUUUGAGGAAAUUGACCCAUUUUUCAUUUAGUUACAUGCUUUUUAGAAAUUUGAAAUGAUUUCUCAUAGAAAAAUAUUCAUGUCAUAUUAUAUUGUCUAUAAAAA